rnacentral:rRNA from 1 species
ACCCAGACUCCUACGGGAGGCAGCAGUAGGGAAUUUUGCGCAAUGGGGGAAACCCUGACGCAGCAACGCCGCGUGAUUGAUGAAGCCCUUCGGGGUGUAAAGAUCUGUCAGUGGGGACGAAACUUGACGGUACCCACAGAGGAAGCCCCGGCUAACUACGUGCCAGCAGCCGCGGUAAUACGUAGGGGGCAAGCGUUAUCCGGAUUUACUGGGUGUAAAGGGAGCGUAGACGGCUGCGCAAGUCAGAAGUGAAAGCCCGGGGCUCAACCGCGGGACUGCUUUUGAAACUGUGUAGCUAGAGUGCAGGAGAGGUAAGUGGAAUUCCUAGUGUAGCGGUGAAAUGCGUAGAUAUUAGGAGGAACACCGGUGGCGAAGGCGGCUUACUGGACUGUAACUGACGUUGAGGCUCGAAAGCGUGGGGAGCAAACAGGAUUAGAUACCCGGGUA